CUACGGACAAAAGAGCAGCAAGUUCGCGAGGACAAGCAAAUCUCAUAAACCGUGGCUCAGUUCAGAUCGUAGGCUGCAACUCGCCUACGUGAAGGAGGAAUCGCUAGUAAUCGCAGGUCAGCAUACUGCGGUGAAUACGUUCCCGGGCCUUGUACACACCGCCCGUCACACCAUGGAAGUUGGCCACGCCCGAAGCCGUUACUCCAACCCUCGGGAGGAGGACGUCGAAGGUGGGGCUGAUGACUGGGGUGAAGUCGUAACAAGGUAGCCGUACCGGAAGGUGCGGCUGGAUCACCUCCUAA
rnacentral:rRNA from 1 species